GCAGUAGGGCCAGGCUUUCUGGGAAGGAACUUACCUCAUUAAUGUGAUGAUUAUUUUUAUUUUCUUUCCACCUCUUUAGCCUGAUGAGUCUGACUUUCUGAAGGGCACUCCCUUAGUCAGGCUACCAGCUAGCUUAAACAGAUUAACUCUUGAGGGGACAGUACUGCCUGUCCACCCACAUGUAGAUUCCAUUCUUCUGACCCGAAGGAAAGCGCUUGCCCUCCAUGGGCCUCCAGCGCUUAGAUAACACUGUGUGUCUAUUAUAGGCAUCAGUGAGGACCACUGAUGACUUGGGGGAGUAGAGCAGAAGCCAAGGCUUAUUCAUCGAGAGGUAUGGAAGCUACAUUGAGGAGAACUGAGCAUCUACUCAGCUAAGAGAAUGAAGCAGGGGAACAGAUAUCUAAGGAUAAACCUCUGAGUGUGAACUAGGAGAAAGCACUUAGCGAGGACCAUUAUCUGCCAAGUGUAUGUAUCCAGAUUCAUCUCCAGGACACAUCUUCACAACAGCUAUUGAGGUAGUAUGGCCAACUUUUUUUUUCCCCACAAAGAAAGUGAGGGGCUCACAGACGUCUGCGCCAGAUGAAAGACUGCAGAGUGCAUGCACUCAUUGUUCAGAAGUUAAUAGUAGAAGUGAAGAAAUCUGGGCAAUAGAACUAAGGAGAAUAGGGUUUGAGGAAUCAGUAGCUUCAAAAGUUUGGGUACCCAGAGGACGCUUUAUCACACACAGGAAUUCUAGCAGGGAGAAGAAAUGGAUAGAAUCCCGGUCUGAAAAGGAAAGCUCUAAAUGGUGGAAAGCGGAGUCUCAAAGCAGCUGAGGACUGGCCGUUUUCAGAUGGGAACCAAAGCCCUGUGCACGGAGAACUUUAGUGUGUAGCAUGGGACUUGCUAUGUAGACCAGCCUAGCCUUAAACUCACAGAGAUCUCCAUGGCUCUGCCUCCAGAGCGCUGAGACUUAAGGUGUGCACACCAUGCCUACCUGACUGCAGAAGUCAGCUUUAAGAAGAAGUUGUCAGGAGCCAUAAUGGGAGAAGCUAAUAACUAGCAGGUGAUCAUCCUGAAAUGGCCUGCUUCGGAUUAUUAUAUAACCUA